CAGGAAAACUGGACGUAAGGUGAGGCUUGAAACACCACUGGCUUCAUUGAUGCCCACAGGCUGCGCAAACUCCCUUCACGGCCUUUGCAUCAAGACCAACUUAAAAAUGAAUGCCCCAGUGAACCCUUCCCCGACCUCUAAGAAGAACAGAAGAAGAGGAAGGAAGAAGAAGCUGGAGGACAGUCAAGCCCCAAGGCACCCUAGGCGUGUAGCAGCCCAGGGCCGGUGACGCGAAGCCCUCAGCCUGCCUGAGACUCUCCUGGCCACUUGGCAGUGGCCUCUGGUAUAAUUUUCUCCCAGUGACUUAUUUUCUCUGUUGUUAGUUUCCUGGGGCUGCCAUAACCAUGUGCCACAAACUGGGUGGCUUAGACCAGCAGUCCACAACCUUUUAAGCACCAGGGAGCAGUUUCAUGGAAGACAAUUUUUCCACAGACUGGGGGUGGGGAGAUGGUUUUGGGAUGAUUCAGG
rnacentral:lncRNA from 13 species